rnacentral:lncRNA from 1 species
AGUGAAACCCUUAUCCGGAUUAGGGUGAGGGGGAGAGAGACGACGGGGAGCAAAGGAAUCGAUCCCGGAGCUGAUGCAAACGUCCCAAAAUUUUUGGCUUUUUCAGGUCCAACGUUCGUUAAAUAACUCCCCGUGUGGGAUGUCGAUUUCUCCCGGUCUCUUUCCGUCUUAUUCUUUCAUAUUUUGGUUUGCUUCCAUUUUUUCAUCACAACUCUUUCAUAUUUUGGUUUGCAUCCAUUUUUUCAUCACAAUGAAACAGCCUUUAUGUCAACGACGAUCUUAUCCCUCCAUAAUACUAAAACCAGACCAAAGAGCCUUUAUGGCCAACGACGAUCUUAUCCCUCAUAAUACUUAAAAAAGACCAAACAGCCUUUGUGGUCAACGACGAUCUUAUCCCUCUAAAGGCCAAGGCAUUCAGCAGGUAAUACUAUGCUCCUUCUGGAACAUACGCUAUAUUUACUCAUUUGGACCGAAGCUAAUUUACAAGUAUGAAAUUUUGAG